GCUUGCUUCAGCAACACAUAUACUACAAUUGGAAGGAUACAGAGAAGAUUAGCAUGGCCCCAGCACAAGAAUGACAUCCAAAUUCGUGAAGCUUUCCAUAUUUAA
ensembl:snRNA U6 U6 spliceosomal RNA